rnacentral:rRNA from 1 species
UAGGGAAUCUUCGGCAAUGGACGAAAGUCUGACCGAGCAACGCCGCGUGAGUGAAGAAGGUUUUCGGAUCGUAAAACUCUGUUGGUAGAGAAGAACGUUGGUGAGAGUGGAAGGCUCAUCAAGUGACGGUAACUACCCAGAAAGGGACGGCUAACUACGUGUCAG